GUUUGAUAUAACAAUAGUAAGAUCUAGGGUGGUUCGAGGGCUAAUUCACCGACUGCUUAGAGAAUAUUGUUUGUUAUCCCUGGGAGGGAUCUUAUUACUGAUUUUCAAAUGGGAACCUGGAGGAACUGCAUGAAUUAUCCCCGGAGGGUAGGCUAUUAGACCUUGAGUUACUACUGACUGGCAUGGUAUCACAUCCUACUGGGCUGGGUGAUAGGGACA